rnacentral:rRNA from 1 species
CGGCAGGCCUAACACAUGCAAGUCGAGCGGUAGAGAGAAGCUUGCUUCUCUUGAGAGCGGCGGACGGGUGAGUAAUGCCUAGGAAUCUGCCUGGUAGUGGGGGAUAACGUUCGGAAACGGACGCUAAUACCGCAUACGUCCUACGGGAGAAAGCAGGGGACCUUCGGGCCUUGCGCUAUCAGAUGAGCCUAGGUCGGAUUAGCUAGUUGGUGAGGUAAUGGCUCACCAGGGCGACGAUCCGUAACUGGUCUGAGAGGAUGAUCAGUCACACUGGAACUGAGACACGGUCCAGACUCCUACGGGAGGCAGCAGUGGGGAAUAUUGGACAAUGGGCGAAAGCCUGAUCCAGCCAUGCCGCGUGUGUGAAGAAGGUCUUCGGAUUGUAAAGCACUUUAAGUUGGGAGGAAGGGUUGUAGAUUAAUACUCUGCAAUUUUGACGUUACCGACAGAAUAAGCACCGGCUAACUCUGUGCCAGCAGCCGCGGUAAUACAGAGGGUGCAAGCGUUAAUCGGAAUUACUGGGCGUAAAGCGCGCGUAGGUGGUUUGUUAAGUUGGAUGUGAAAUCCCCGGGCUCAACCUGGGAACUGCAUUCAAAACUGACUGACUAGAGUAUGGUAGAGGGUGGUGGAAUUUCCUGUGUAGCGGUGAAAUGCGUAGAUAUAGGAAGGAACACCAGUGGCGAAGGCGACCACCUGGACUAAUACUGACACUGAGGUGCGAAAGCGUG